AUGACCCCCGUCCAGAGGGGAGGUGAUGAAGGCGUGGAUGAGGGUCUCUACCACGGGGGCAGUGAGGGACGGCCCCAGUCUGGACAUGUUUCUGAGGGGGUCCAAUGCCUAUCUGUUGAUGGACUCCAUACUUUUGGUGGAGGCACCCAACUCAUCGUUGACUUGGGAGUGGUGCAGCCCACGCUGAGCGUCCUCCCUCCCUCCAGAGUGGAGCUGGAGCAGGGCAGUGCUACACUAGUGUGUGUGGCCAGUGGGGGCUUCCCCUCAGACUGGAAGCUUGGCUGGAAGGUGGGGGGCAGCAGCAGGUCUGGGGGGGUGUCUGAUAGCCUGGGGGUCCUGGGGAAAGAUGGCCACUACAGCUGGAGCAGCACCUUGACCCUCCCUGCAGACCAGUGGAGGAAGGCGGGCUCAGUGAGCUGUGAGGCCAGUAAGAAUGGCCAGACGCAGCCUGUCACUCAAACCCUGAAUCCUGGAGAGUGUUCAGAGUAGAGAGGCUCCAGCAUGGAAGUACUUGAGAACACAGAUCUCCUCUGACAGGUCUGCUUUAUGUCUUUCUGUCUGAGGUGGCACUGCAGCUUUUGAUGAUUUACAUUAAUAUAACUCGUGUUUGCUUCAUUGACAUUAUGCUCUCUGAUUUUAUCCCCUUGCUUUGUCACAUGUUGAAUCAAAU